UACAGAGGGUGCUAGCGUUGUUCGGAAUCAUUGGGCGUAAAGGGUGCGUAGGCGGUCCUAUAAGUCAGUUGUGAAAUACGGCAGCUUAACUGUCGAGGUGCAAUUGAUACUGCAGGACUUGAGUACAGACGAGGUAGGCGGAAUUGACGGUGUAGCGGUGAAAUGCUUAGAUAUCGUCAAGAACACCGAUAGCGAAGGCAGCUUACUAGACUGUAACUGACGCUGAUGCACGAAAGUGUGGGGAUCAAACAGG
rnacentral:rRNA from 1 species